CAAAUACCUCUAAGUCCAUUGAGUCCAACAGUUCCCCCACUAAACCAUGUCCCCAAUUGCUAAGUCUGGAAUGCAGAACCAUCAGCAUUUACAGCCUGGCUGCAGACAGAAGUAGUUGAGGAAGCACCAGACAACGCCAAGGGCAAAGAACAAGGCAUCAGAAGGGCAGGAGCAUUUCUUCCACCAAAAAAAAACCCAGAAAAAGAAAGAGCUCGAGCUCCUGUGAGCAUGAGAAUUUAGGGAAAGAGGGAAGUUCAGAAGGAAAAAGGGACUGACAUGUGAGUCAGGGCAUUUCUAGGCAUCCAAGUGUCCAGCUCCUUUCAUGAUGUGGGAGGUGAAAAACCUGUUGACAGGAGUUGUUUUCAAUUAAAUGUCGUACAUAAG